AAGACCUGCAUAGAACAAGAUAUUGGUGACCGAUUAAUAUUUCCUGUGAGUAGCAACACCCACGGGGACCAAGUUAUAAGUAUACCUAGCCUCGAUCCCAGGCCGAGUUUUCGCUUUUAUAACGGUUAGGCGAACAACUGGGCCUGGUACUAGUUGUCUGCGCAUGCGUCAAUCGUUCGUCAGAUUCUGACGAAUGGAUAUUCUCGUUCACUUUUGUGACAUUUAUAUUCGUGUACUAUCGUGUACUAGAAGUCAGUUCCCGUUUUAUCAUUAUUGGAAUCGAUUGGAAUGGCUCUUAGCUGAAGCUUCUCUCUUCUCUGAAGCUUAUUCUGAAGACUGAACAACAAGGGAAAAGGUAUAAAGCUUUGUCAAGCUUGUUAAGGUCAGAUAUUUUUGUGUGGGUCCUAUGGCCGGCUAUGCUAUCAAGUCUUGUUCAUGUUUGGCAAGAAUAUCGAAUGUAGGUAGACUAUAGUUUCAUCAUUAAUAUGGUGGAUCAAGUGAAGAGUGUGAGCUAGAGAACUUGGUGCUGCCAUCAUCAGCUCGUCGACAAUGACACUAUAACCGAGAAAUUUAAUAUGUAUAGAUCUACACGUAUUUAAAAUGUCUACUUCUCUGUACAGGAGCAAUGGCUAAUAUCCAGCUAUCCCAACAGUGCUCCUCUUGGCUAUACUAACGGACGAGACUGGACAGUUUGAGACACAGGACUGGAGUAUGACCUGCUCAUUCGAGCGUUGCUGGGUAGCUCAGAGACAUCAAGAGAAUCUACGUUUUCUCAAGCAAUGAGUUACGAGUUGGUGCCUAGAAUCAGAGAAGUCCAGCAGCCUGCUAAAUCUUUUUGAAACGUAAUUUGAAGGCAUUCAAUCAUCCUGAAGUUGCCCUGGGUCACUGUAAUUGUGCUGCAGCACAACUGGCAACUCCCCAGGCCUUUGUGAAGCAGCUCCCUAUGUGCAUCUUUUGUGUACUCACUCUGUGCAUUUUCUGUGUACAAAUUUCAAUUAUUGAUUUAUUAAAUAUUUUUGCCGACCACAAA